AGUACUGUGAAGGAAAGGUGAAAAGAACCCCGGGAGGGGAGUGAAAGAGAACCUGAAACCUUGUGCUUACAAACAGUCAAAGGCCUACGGGCUGAUGGCGUACUUUUUGUAGAACGGUCCGGCGAGUUACUAAUGCCAGCGAGGUUAAGAUGUCAGAAGCAUCGGAGCCGAAGGGAAACCAAGUCUGAAUAGGGCGUAGAGUUGGUAUUAGUAGACCCGAAACCGGGUGACCUAUCCAUGUCCAGGUUGAAGGAACCGUAAAAGGUUUUGGAGGACCGAACACACAUGUGUUGAAAAACGUGGUGAUGAGGUGUGGAUAGCGGAGAAAUUCCAAUCGAACUCGGAGAUAGCUGGUUCUCCUCGAAAUAGCUUUAGGGCUAGCCUCGAGCUGGAGUCUAACGGAGGUAAAGCACUGAACUGACGCGGGGCCCAAAAAGGUUACCAACUCAUAUCAAACUAAGAAUGCCGUCAAGAUACCCUCGGGAGUCAGUCUGCGUGAGAUAAGUCGCGUGGACAAAAGGGAAAGAGCCCAGACCGACAGCUAAGGUCCCAAAGUACGUGUUAAGUGGAAAAGGAUGUGGGAUUUCAUAGACAACUAGGAUGUUGGCUUAGAAGCAGCCAUACAUUUAAAGAGUGCGUAAUAGCUCACUAGUCGAGAAAACCUGCGCCGAAAAUGUAACGGGGCUAAAACACGACACCGAAGCUACGGAUUUCCUACAAGGUAGGAAGUGGUAGAGGAGCAUCCUGCAAGGACGAAGCCAAAGUGAGAGCGAUGGUGGACGAAACAGGAGAGAGAAUGCCGGAAUGAGUAGCGAGAUACAUGUGAGAAACAUGUAGGCCGAAUAUCUAAGGAUUCCUGGGUAAAGCUAAUCUUCCCAGGGUUAGUCGGGGCCUAAGGCGAGGACGAAAGUCGUAGUCGAUGGAUAACAGGUUGAUAUUCCUGUACUACACAUAAUCAGAACUGUGGGGACGCAGGAGGAUAGGGAAACCGGGGAAUGGAGAGACCCGGUCAAGCGUAAAGCUGUGGGAGAUAGGCAAAUCCGUCUCUUGUAAGUGAAACGUGAUGAGGACUGAAAAAAAGUAAGGAAGUUUCCGAAUCCACACUGCCGAGAAAAGCCGCUAUUGCGUUAUGUGUACCCGUACCGUAAACCGACACAGGUAGAUGAGGAGAAAAUCCACAGGCCGACGGGAGAAGUGUUGUUAAGGAACUCGGCAAAAUGACCCCGUAACUUCGGGAUAAGGGGAGCCUCGCAAGAGGCCGCAGAAAAGAGGCACAAGCAACUGUUUAGCAAAAACAUAGGUCUAUGCGAAACCGUAAGGUGAAGUAUAUGGGCUGACGCCUGCCCGGUGCUGGAAGGUUAAGAGGAGAGGUUAGCGCAAGCGAAGCUUUGAAUUUAAGCCCCAGUAAACGGCGGCCGUAACUAUAACGGUCCUAAGGUAGCGAAAUUCCUUGUCAGGUAAGUUCUGACCCGCACGAAAGGCGUAAUGAUUUGUGCACUGUCUCGACAACACGCCCGGUGAAAUUGAAGAACCAGUGAAGAUACUGGUUACCCGCAACAGGACGGAAAGACCCCAUGGAGCUUUACUGCAGCCUGAUACUGGGAUUCGAUGAUAUAUGUACAGGAUAGGUGGGAGGCUAAGAAGCGAGAACGCUAGUUUUCGUGGAGCCGCCGGUGGGAUACCACUCUUAUGUCAUUGAAUUUCUAACCUGCAUCCGUAAUCCGGGUGAGGGACAAUGUCAGGCGGGCAGUUUGACUGGGGCGGUCGCCUCCUAAAAGGUAACGGAGGCGCUCGAAGGUCACCUCAGAAUGAUUGGAAACCAUUCAAAGAGUGUAAAGGCAAAAGGUGGCUUGACUGCGAGAGCGACGGCUCGAGCAGGUACGAAAGUAGGACUUAGUGAUCCGGUGGUAAUAAGUGGGAAUGCCAUCGCUCAACGGAUAAAAGCUACCCUGGGGAUAACAGGCUUAUCUCCCCCAAGAGUUCACAUCGACGGGGAGGUUUGGCACCUCGAUGUCGGCUCAUCGCAUCCUGGGGCUGAAGUAGGUCCCAAGGGUUGGGCUGUUCGCCCAUUAAAGCGGUACGCGAGCUGGGUU
rnacentral:rRNA from 1 species